rnacentral:rRNA from 1 species
UGAUGCAGCGACGCCGCGUGAGGGAUGACGGCCUUCGGGUUGUAAACCUCUUUCAGUAGGGAAGAAGCGUAAGUGACGGUACCUGCAGAAGAAGCGCCGGCUAACUACGUGCCAGCAGCCGCGGUAAUACGUAGGGCGCAAGCGUUAUCCGGAAUUAUUGGGCGUAAAGAGCUCGUAGGCGGUUUGUCGCGUCUGCCGUGAAAGUCCGGGGCUCAACUCCGGAUCUGCGGUGGGUACGGGCAGACUAGAGUGAUGUAGGGGAGACUGGAAUUCCUGGUGUAGCGGUGAAAUGCGCAGAUAUCAGGAGGAACACCGAUGGCGAAGGCAGGUCUCUGGGCAUUAACUGACGCUGAGGAGCGAAAGCAUGGGGAGCGAACAGGAUUAGAUACCCUGGUAGUCCAUGCCGUAAACGUUGGGCACUAGGUGUGGGGGACAUUCCACGUUUUCCGCGCCGUAGCUAACGCAUUAAGUGCCCCGCCUGGGGAGUACGGCCGCAAGGCUAAAACUCAAAGGAAUUGACGGGGGCCCGCACAAGCGGCGGAGCAUGCGGAUUAAUUCGAUGCAACGCGAAGAACCUUACCAAGGCUUGACAUGAACCGGAAACGCCUGGAAACAGGUGCCCCACUUGUG